rnacentral:rRNA from 2 species
UGGGGAAUAUUGGACAAUGGGGGCAACCCUGAUCCAGCCAUGCCGCGUGAGUGAAGAAGGCCUUCGGGUUGUAAAGCUCUUUUGGCGGGGACGAUGAUGACGGUACCCGCAGAAUAAGCCCCGGCUAACUUCGUGCCAGCAGCCGCGGUAAGACGAAGGGGGCUAGCGUUGUUCGGAAUUACUGGGCGUAAAGGGCGCGUAGGCGGUCUUGUCAGUCAGGCGUGAAAGCCCUGGGCUCAACCUGGGAGGUGCGCUUGAUACUGCAAGGCUUGAGUGCAGGAGAGGAUGGUGGAAUUCCCAGUGUAGAGGUGAAAUUCGUAGAUAUUGGGAAGAACACCGGUGGCGAAGGCGGCCAUCUGGACUGCAACUGACGCUGAGGCGCGAAAGCGUGGGGAGCAAACAGG